rnacentral:rRNA from 1 species
CGGGUGAGUAACGCGUGGAUAACCUGCCUCACACUGGGGGAUAACAGUUAGAAAUGACUGCUAAUACCGCAUAAGCGCACAGUACCGCAUGGUACAGUGUGAAAAACUCCGGUGGUGUGAGAUGGAUCCGCGUCUGAUUAGCUAGUUGGCGGGGUAACGGCCCACCAAAGCGACGAUCAGUAGCCGACCUGAGAGGGUGACCGGCCACAUUGGGACUGAGACACGGCCCAA